AUUGAACGCUGGCGGCAGGCCUAACACAUGCAAGUCGAACGAGCGGCGGACGGGUGAGUAAUGUCUGGGGAUCUGCCUGAUAGAGGGGGCUAACUACUGGAAACGGUGGCUAAUACCGCAUACCAUCGGAUGAGCCCAUAUGGGAUUAGCUAGUAGGUGGGGUAAAGGCUCACCUAGGCGACGAUCCCUAGCUGGUCUGAGAGGAUGAUCAGGAAGAGUGGAACGGAGAGACGGGCCAGACUGCAAAGGGAGGCAGCAGGGGGGAAGAGUGCACAAAGGGCGGAAGCAUGAUGAAGCCAUGCCGCGGGUAUGAAGAAGGCAAUGGGGAAGGAAAGUACUUUCAGCGGGGAGGCGUUACCAGCAGAAGGAGCACCGGCUAACUCCGUGCGAGCAGCCGCGGUAAUUC
rnacentral:rRNA from 1 species